ensembl:lncRNA
UGGAUUCUUUCAUUUCUCUUGAGCAUUUGAACAAUUAAGCCCUUACAAAACUCCUAAAGCCGCACAAGCAUGAACAAUCUGAUGCUUUUGGGUCCUGGGGAACAGGACAAUGACUGGAGCAGCUGAGAUCAGGCAUGAAUGUAUCACAGAGUGCCUUGUUGGAGUGCAGCAUGGUCCUGGCAGGAGGAGUGGGGUUCUGCAGAGGAUAGGGUGGUGGAGAGCCCUCUAGAACGUGUACAGUAAUGUGCCUUGCAGAAGCUAGGCAUGAACAGCUGUGGAAUGGGAAAGGCUGUACAACCCGUGGAGCUGUAAUGUGAGAACUGUGAGUGGGGCCAUCAGCUGAGACUGCUAGUGUUGGAGGUCAGGAGUGUGGUGAUGCCUUUCAGGAUGUGCCCUCAGAGGGUGACUUGGGUGAGGGGCAGAAGAGACCCAGCACCCACACUACAUAAUUACAGAGGGGCUGGGAGUGAAAUCCACUAGCAUUUAGUGUCAGAUAGGCAGGGGUCAGGUCUGCUUCCAGACUCAAGAGUAUGCCUGUGAGCAUGUAAAACUCUUAAGCCAAGAAAUCUGAACCUAUAGAAAUGCUAAGGACAUUUCUGGGAGUACAACUACCUAUCAUUGUAUUUCAAAGUUUCUAGUAUUAAAAAUUUUCCAUGCAAGAUCUUUGGGGCCCUCAGAGUAGCACAGCAUGAAAGGAUUGUACCCAGCUUCCUGAAUAUGAGUUGUGAACACUCUGGCACUGGGAAGUCACCUGACAUUUGGUUUUGCCAAAAACCUGCAAUUAGCAUUUUCCCCUACUUUUACUAGAAGUGAUCUGGGAAACACACAAGCUAGUCCCAGAAGCUGGGUGGAUUCAGAACCCUGCACUCAUGUAUUAUAGGUGAUGGCAGCUGUGUAAACUGUGAGCACUCUUGGAGAUGGGGCUCCCUGGCCAUGCUUCAUAUGCCCCUUGCCAACAGAUAGCACUGAAGCUCUGGUCCAGGCUAGUGUGCAAACAGGCUGGCUGCCCAUGAAGCUGCUACGUGAACACACCCAGGUGUGCAGGAGAGCCAGCUGCCCAUGCUCACAGCACCACUGCCAUGGCGGGGGGGCGGGGGGGGGGGGUUGCUGCAGGAAGCCAGAAGAGCCAUGGUGCUAGAUUCUAGCCAGAAAUGAUACCAAAGAAAUAAGCCUUUCUGUCCCGAUGCUUCUUAGAUGGUGAGGCUAAGUGUGAUAGACACCAGGGAGGGGAAUCCACGUACAUUCCAUAUCAACUAUUCAGCUGGCAAAGUAAGUCCAUCCUCAAAAAAGCACCUAUUCUCUUUAAGAAGUCCAUUUUGUAUAUCAGAAGAGAAAACAUGAUGAUGGUAGAAGCCCAAGGCAGAUAGUGAAGUCCCUGGUGUCUAAGGACAAGGAACUCUUCCUCCUUACCAUAGCAUGACUGUGGCCCAGACCUCAGCAUGGGAACAUCUGAGGGCUGAAUGUUUUUUUAAAGACAUAAGGUAGUUUCAGUAGAUUCGUUUAAAGAACUCUUGGGAAUUUUCUUAUCACAUUGUACCAUUUUUAUAAACCUUCCUAUAGAGGUGUUUACCAUUCAACAUCCUUCCAUUUAGCAUUUAUAAGUGCCCAGACUGUACAAGGUGCUAUACAGCUGUUACACAGCUCCUCUCCACAGCUGUUGGAAAUUAGCAUAGACCUCUGCAUCCACCACUGCCGGAAGCUUUGCCUGCCCAGGGGGCUGCAGAGGCCUGCAUUCCAAAACCCCAUCCACACCCCACUCCUAAGGACUCCCAGUCUCUUCCCCAUCCCACACAUCCUCAUGGUUUUUUUAAAUCAAGAAAGUUUCAGGGAAUCCAAAGAGGUCGGAAAUUUUUUAACAUAGCAGAACUACAGAAGUAUAUAUUUUGCUACGAAUAUUAUUCUAGUACAGGAAAUCCACUUUGCCCGUUAGUGUAUGGCUAGUGUGUGUGUCUGCAGUCUCGAUCACUUGAAUGUUGCACCGGCCCUGGGGCUUCAGGGUGGCCUUGCAGGAAGGUUAUCCACACUGCUUCAGGAAGCCUGCUCCAGCACUAUGCGGUCAUCCCUUCCCUUGGCGACUAAAGAGUGCUGUGUGUGAACAUGGGGCUGGGAUUUCUGUGGAUGAUAUGCAGGGCAUUUUGGUGUGAGAUCAAGGCAGAAGCAAGACGUCUGCCAUCUGAAUCGUGACGGCCCUCAUUCCAAUCUAAUUCUUCGUGGCACUGCCCACAUGCUAUAUUUGAAAAUCUUGUUCCUCUUGCUCUUUCUAGAGCUUCACCUCUCCACUUACAUAUUAUAGAGUUGUAUAACUCUACCAAUAACAGGUCCCCUCUGUCACCAGUGGCGCCGCCCUUUGGUUUGCUGUGGUACUUUGCUGUGUACUCUGUGGCAUCGUGUUACUAUGUAAAUAAACUCAUUUUAAUAUGCAC